GAUGAAGAACGUAGUGAAAUGCGAUAAGUAAUGCGAAUUGCAGAAUUCCGUGAGUCAUCGAAUCUUUGAACGCACAUUGCGCCCUCUGGUAUUCCGGAGGGCAUGCCUGUCUGAGCGUCAUUGUCAACCCUCAAGCUCAGCUUGCUGUUGGGUCCCCGUCGUUGCUUUAACGGCGGACCCGAAAGGUAAUGGCAGAGUCCGUGAGACCCUAGACGCAGCGAGCUUCUAGCACGCGUCUGGACGUUUUUCGGGCUCGGUCUUAACUAGAUGAUAACUUCCGAUUGACCUCAGAUCAGGUAGGGAUACCCGCUGAACUUAAGCAUAUCAAUAAACGGGGA
rnacentral:misc_RNA from 1 species